rnacentral:tRNA from 1 species
CAAAGUAAAGCUAAAUUAGGGUAGCAUUUCACUUACGUUGAGAAGAUUACUGUGCAAAUCAGUUUACUUUGA